CCCCCCGCCGGACCCCCCGGGCCCCGCGGCCGCCAGCCGGGUGCAAGGUGCCCUCUCGUUCCCGCAGCCUCGCGUGCCCCUGCUGCUGAGCUGCAUGAAGGAGGCAGGGAAGGUUUUCCUGGCCACCAACAGCGACUACAACUACACAGACGCGAUAAUGAGCCACCUGUUCGCCUUCGACCCGGGAGCCGAGGCCCAGCGCCCCUGGCGCUCCUACUUCGACCUGAUUGUCGUCGACACGCGCAAGCCGCUCUUCUUCGCCGCGGG